rnacentral:rRNA from 1 species
CUGGAGGUAUCAGAAGUGCGAAUGCUGACAUAAGUAACGAUAAAGCGGGUGAAAAGCCCGCUCGCCGGAAGACCAAGGGUUCCUGUCCAACGUUAAUCGGGGCAGGGUGAGUCGACCCCUAAGGCGAGGCCGAAAGGCGUAGUCGAUGGGAAACGGGUUAAUAUUCCCGUACUUGGUGUUACUGCGAAGGGGGGACGGAGAAGGCUAUGUUGGCCGGGCGACGGUUGUCCCGGUUUAAGCGUGUAGGUGUGUGUUCCAGGUAAAUCCGGUUCACUUUAACACUGAGGCGUGAUGACGAGGCACUACGGUGCUGAAGCAACAAAUGCCCUGCUUCCAGGAAAAGCCUCUAAGCAUCAGGUAACAUCAAAUCGUACCCCAAACCGACACAGGUGGUCAGGUAGAGAAUACCAAGGCGCUUGAGAGAACUCGGGUGAAGGAACUAGGCAAAAUGGUGCCGUAACUUCGGGAGAAGGCACGCUGACACGUAGGUGAAGUGAUUUACUCAUGGAGCUGAAGUCAGUCGAAGAUACCAGCUGGCUGCAACUGUUUAUUAAAAACACAGCACUGUGCAAACACGAAAGUGGACGUAUACGGUGUGACGCCUGCCCGGUGCCGGAAGGUUAAUUGAUGGGGUCAGCGCAAGCGAAGCUCCUGAUCGAAGCCCCGGUAAACGGCGGCCGUAACUAUAACGGUCCUAAGGUAGCGAAAUUCCUUGUCGGGUAAGUUCCGACCUGCACGAAUGGCGUAAUGAUGGCCAGGCUGUCUCCACCCGAGACUCAGUGAAAUUGAACUCGCUGUGAAGAUGCAGUGUACCCGCGGCAAGACGGAAAGACCCCGUGAACCUUUACUAUAGCUUGACACUGAACAUUGAGCCUUGAUGUGUAGGAUAGGUGGGAGGCUUUGAAGUGUGGACGCCAGUCUGCAUGGAGCCGGCCUUGAAAUACCACCCUUUAAUGUUUGAUGUUCUAACGUGGACCCGUGAUCCGGGUUGCGGACAGUGUCUGGUGGGUAGUUUGACUGGGGCGGUCUCCUCCUAAAGAGUAACGGAGGAGCACGAAGGUUGGCUAAUCCUGGUCGGACAUCAGGAGGUUAGUGCAAUGGCAUAAGCCAGCUUGACUGCGAGCGUGACGGCGCGAGCAGGUGCGAAAGCAGGUCAUAGUGAUCCGGUGGUUCUGAAUGGAAGGGCCAUCGCUCAACGGAUAAAAGGUACUCCGGGGAUAACAGGCUGAUACCGCCCAAGAGUUCAUAUCGACGGCGGUGUUUGGCACCUCGAUGUCGGCUCAUCACAUCCUGGGGCUGAAGUAGGUCCCAAGGGUAUGGCUGUUCGCCAUUUAAAGUGGUACGCGAGCUGGGUUUAGAACGUCGUGAGACAGUUCGGUCCCUAUCUGCCGUG